AAGGAAUGGAACGGGGUGAGUAGUGUCCGGGCGGUCGACGGCAGCGAAAUCCGUUGCAGAGGCAGCAGCAAGGUAGAGAUAGUGGUGCGCGGCGCGACGCUAAGGCUGCAGGCAAUUGUGGCCGAACGCGUGAUAGAUGGAGUUGAUGUGGUGAUGGGGAUGGACGCCAUCAACUGCCUCGGUGGCGUCAGUGUUGUGGGAAAUGAGGUCACGUUCGGAAGCGUGGGGGCGUCGUGCACUGCGAGUCAGGAUCGCCAGAGAGAGCAGAGCCCCACGAGGGACUGCGCCGCUUACACCAUCGAGGACAAAGACUUUCAGGCGGCGUUCGAUGGUCAGCGGUGGACGAUAGAGUGGCGAUGGAAGGACGAGCCCCCGACGCUGGAGAACAGGGUGAGCUGUUACCAGCAUACCCUGAAAGGCCACGCCAGGGUCGAGUUUGAAGACGAGGUGGAGAGAUGGAUCAGGGAAGAAGUCC